UACGAAGGGUGCAAGCGUUAAUCGGAAUUACUGGGCGUAAAGCGUGCGUAGGCGGUUCGUUAAGUCUGUCGUGAAAUCCCCGGGCUCAACCUGGGAAUGGCGAUGGAUACUGGCGAGCUAGAGUGUGUCAGAGGAUGGUGGAAUUCCCGGUGUAGCAGUGAAAUGCGUAGAGAUCGGGAGGAACACCAGUGGCGAAGGCGGCCUUCUGGACCAAUACUGACGCUCAUGCACGAAAGCGUGGGGAGCAAACAGG
rnacentral:rRNA from 1 species